rnacentral:RNase_P_RNA from 1 species
CCAGAUAGUUGGAUUGUCGCUAUUAACUUAAAAUUAGUAGAGGAAAGUCCGGGCUCCGAAAAGACACAGUGCCAGUUAACGACUGGCGAAGGUGACUUUAGGGAUAGUGCCACAGAAAAUAAACCGCCUAAUCAAGGCAAGGGUGAAACGGUGAGGUAAGAGCUUACCGGUUUUUUGGUAACAAAAAACGCACGGCAAACCCCACUGGGAGCAAGGUUAAAUAGAGAGGACAAAGCACUUAAGUGCAAAAAACAGUCUUUUGUUAGUCUUCUGGGUUAACCGCUUGAGCUUAAAUGUGAAUUUAGGCCUAGAGAAAUGACAUUUUAAAUGACAGAACCCGGCUUACAGAUUAUCUGGCAAA